AGUGAACGCUGGCGGUAGGCCAAACACAUGCAAGUCGAACGGCAGCACAGUAAGAGCUUGCUCUUACGGGUGGCGAGUGGCGGACGGGUGAGGAAUACAUCGGAAUCUACUUUUUCGUGGGGGAUAAUGUAGGGAAACUUACGCUAAUACCGCAUACGACCUACGGGUGAAAGCAGGGGAUCUUCGGACCUUGCGCGAUUGAAUGAGCCGAUGUCGGAUUAGCUAGUUGGCGGGGUAAAGGCCCACCAAGGCGACGAUCCGUAGCUGGUCUGAGAGGAUGAUCAGCCACACUGGAACUGAGACACGGUCCAGACUCCUACGGGAGGCAGCAGUGGGGAAUAUUGGACAAUGGGCGCAAGCCUGAUCCAGCCAUACCGCGUGGGUGAAGAAGGCCUUCGGGUUGUAAAGCCCUUUUGUUGGGAAAGAAAAGCAGCAGGUUAAUACCCCGCUGUUCUGACGGUACCCAAAGAAUAAGCACCGGCUAACUUCGUG
rnacentral:rRNA from 1 species